CACCCUUCAAGCCUGGCUUGGUAUUGGGCGCCGCGGCCCCCGCGCGCCUCAAAGUCCUGCCGGCCGGGUCGUGUCCCCCGUAGCGUUGUGGUUAAAAACGUUCGCUAAUCGGGGCGGCGCGGCCUCGCCGUAAAACUUCUCAA
rnacentral:misc_RNA from 1 species